UAGCCGACAACACCGUCGCUACCGAAUAAAGUAACAGUAACCGAUAAUAAAAAAUUAACCUAUAUGUUUUCAAUUCGAUGCUCCAUGAAAUUGUUGGCCUUAGUCGCGCUCAUCUUUUUUCAGUCAUUACAAAAGACAUUUAUAUCAAGUAGAUUUUACAAAUGGUAUUAUGAUAUUUGUGUAUCAAUAUUUAUAUGAUUUUAACCUCAACAAUUCUGUCAAAGUUUUUAUUGUAUUUUGUAGAACUUUUAGAAUUCCAAUGCAAUUUACGGAGCCUGUGACUUCGUUUAAGUUAAGGCACUAAAUAUGUAAUUGCAAAAAGACCGAAAAGCGAAACUGUCACUCAAUUUAGCUGCUACUAGUGUCAUCACUAACUGUAAGUAGCAUCAUACGAGUAUCAUCAAUAGACUUGCCGAUCAAAACUGUUAUCACUCAUUAUACUGCGUAUAAAAAGCUGACGACUGUUUUGUAAGUAUGUACGAGUAUGCUGAAUGAAAUUUACUAUUACGCAGGCGCCAAUACUAAUAAGGCAAGUAGUAUAACGCAGUAUUUUAGUAUUUGGCUACAAAUAAAAUAUUUUCAUUUAUUAACCCUAGUAUUUAUUAUUUGUAUGUUAUAUAAUUAAUAAAUAUUUUCCAACGGUAUAUCGAUAGUACACGCGCCAAAGAAACCUUUGACGUAAUCGAUGAUUGCGAUUAAACAAAGCAUAGCUUACGUUUGCGAAGGAAAUGGCGUUACGAUGCGUAUUAAGCGCAGUAAAUAUUUCAUUGCAAAUUUGUCCCUUGAUACCGUAGUCGAUUUCCAGGAGGACCUCCGAAAAAAAAGGUAACUGGCGGUGAGGAGGACUAUUCUGCUAAGAAUUAUCUAAAAACCAAUAAAAAUGUAUUAUAACAAUAGAUGAAUAAAUUUUGAUUUUUGACAAAAUG